UCUGAUGGCUUAACUAAGGUGUUUGGGCAGCCAGAAAUAGAGGGGAAAAUGGGAAAGGAGAUAAAGAAAGGAGGAGGAGAGAGAGAGAGAGACACAUCCGAGAGAGAUAGAGGAGAAGCUGUUGUCAACUUCUUUUGGAGGCUGUCUUCUUUUUAUUUUUUAUUUUUUUUUUCGGUGAAAGAGCCACAGGUAGGGUUACAUUUAGUUUAAAUACAAUUAAAAAAAAAUAGUCGUUUCUUCAGCAAGGCAUCGCCUCACCUCUCGCAUUUUUGCUGUGGGGCGCUGCCUCAUCGAAGACUGGCCAGGGGAUAUCGGGUGAGGCGUUAGAGUGGUGCCUCGCCUUGGCGCCUUAGACGCCUUUAAUAACCCUAGGAAUUGUGUAUUCUGUUUAGAGUUUCGUUGGGUCCUUAAAAAUUAUACAUCAAACCAAACCAAACCAUAAACCUUUAUUUUUAGGAGAAAUUAUAAAAAGUACCGUGUAGUUUCAUGCAUUUUAGCUUUAGCCUAAAAGUCAACUAGAUGAAGAAAGCAUGGGAAGCUUAAAGAUCCAAUCCUGCGUCGUGUUGCCAGGUAAGUCCUCGAACUCUUGUUCUUCUUCUUCUUCCUCUUUGUUUCAAGCAGCGACCCUCUGUCUAGCUCAAGGACCUCUGCGUUUUUGUAACCUAUUAUUAUUUUUUUUUAGAAGACGUGUGUCUAAGGAGAGAAACGGUUUCCAACCUCCCUUAUUUGAGGAAAUGGCCCCAAUGUGCCUCCAUCAUGUGUCACUAUUUUCGUGUCAGAAACAUUUCUGCCACGGGGAAACGUCUCUGGUCGACAUUUUCAUGCAUCAUAGACGACACCGCAUUUUAUUUGACAAUCUAUUUUCACUAACGUGGCAUUAAAAUAAUAAUUUUAAUCUU
rnacentral:misc_RNA from 1 species